rnacentral:piRNA from 1 species
UGGAGGCUUCAGCUGCAGAUUGUUUG